GCAGGAGAACUAUGAGACAGUGACCUCGCUAGGAUUCCCCAUUCCCAAACCUGACCUGAUCGACCAGCUGGAAAGAGAGGAAGAGCCGUGGGUCCCAGAUCUCCAAGCCACCGAGGAAAGAGAGAGCCCAAGAAGCACUCGCGCAGGCAGUGACUCCUGUCUGGCUUCUCUCUCUCC